rnacentral:sRNA from 1 species
UGUCAUCAUACCCCUGAAAUUCCACUAUUGGUAAUAAUCAUGCUUCAGUAUCUUUAAGAGUAAACCUCCUCUGGAAAUUUAGAAAUGCCAUGGAAAACACUUCAGUGCCUAGAGAUGUGUUUUGUUCCCUGUAGAAAAUUUUUUGUUUGACACCUCCUAUGUGGGAGUUACUUUUAACCUAUAUUUUUACUUUUGUAUUUUAGAGCCCUACCUCAUUCUUUUGACCUUUGUGUUAGAGACACCUCCAGCAAUAGUAGAGUUGACCAUUUUGAGUUAGCAUCUGAUUUGUUUUGAAUUUAUUGGUUUCUAUGCAUCAAAUUCAUUUGUACUAUUUUUACUUACAAUAUUUGGUAUGACUUUAGAUAGCUCAAAGGGUUAUUUUAUGCUUUCUGUUCCACUUCUGUCUAUAAAUUUUGCUUUUACAGCACAGUCAGCAAAACUAAUGGGAACCAUGCAGCCACUUUUCUCUUUAAGAAGAUCAUUUUUGACGUUUGUAAUUGGGCCAAACGUGAUCCCCCCUCCCAGCACCUCAGAGCCAUCGCAAGGUUUAUCUGGAGAGGGACCACCCUGGCUUUCUCCUGCAAAAUAAGAUUUGGGCUUUCAGGUCACCAAGUGUUUGCUGCAGAUUGGUUCUCAUUAAAAUAAACUCUGGACAGUGGUCCAUGUUUUUAUUAUUGACCUUUGAUUUUCUUGAGGUUGGAGAGGCAUCCCUUUAGAAUGACAGAUUUUUUCUUGGAAUUUCAUUAAUAGAAUCUUAGCUGUAAUAAUUAUAUAAAAAAGCAGUGAUUAAAAAAAAGAGCAAGUUACUGGUUAAGAAAGCUGGAUUAUGUCCUUGAUACUCCAGUGACAUAUGACAUUUACUUUUCUUAAACUAAAAUUUCAGCCUCUCUCAUUUCCUCACAUCUUCAUCUAGAAUUUCAUCCUCAACUAGAGUUGCUUCAUAUACAGGUCAUAUGAUAAAUAGAAACUUAAGUGUAUAUCAUUUGCAUAUAUUGCGGUUAUCCUAUACUUACUGAGCACCUAUUAUAUCCCUUGUAUUGUGUCCAUUCAAUUCCUACGAAACCCCUAGAGGUGGCGAUUGAUAAUUUUCCACUAUUAAAUUGAGGAAAGUUAAAUUUCAGAGAGGUCGCAUUAUUUCCUCAAAAUCACAUUCUUAAUAAGUAAUAAUAUAGUUAUUUCUGCUAAUUGCUUGUCACAUACUGGGCGAUUUGCUAAAUGCUUAAUGUGGACCAUCUUACUUAACCUUACAGUACUUUUAUAUUAUUCUUGGUUCCCAAGUGAGGAAGCCAGCACUUUAGGUCUUACGUGACUUUGCUCAGGUCACCCAGCAGGUAAGAGGUGAAUACCAGUUUAAAAAUCAAGGAAAAUUUCAUUUCUGAGUUCACCCUCUUAACCAUCAAUAUAUUAUUAUAUUGCUUUGUGACUGCUACAAUGUGUAAAAGCUCUGAAUUAUAUCUCAGGUCUCUUACUCUGGAACUUACUCUGUGUGUGCGGUGGCCUUCACCCUGUAGUUAACCUGUGCCCUCUAUAUAUUCCUCCUUAAAAAGAGUGUUAGAAAAUAGACUCUAGGCCGGGCGUGGUGGCUUAUGCCUGUAAUGCCAGCACUUUUGGAGGCUGAAGCAGAUGGAUCACCUGAGGUCAGGAGUUUGAGACCAGCCUGGCCAACAUGGCAAAACCCUCUCUCUACUAAAAAUACAAAAAUUAGUCAGGCAUGAUGGUGUGUACCUGUAAUCCCAGCUACUCAGGAGGCUGAGGCAGGAGAAUUGCUUGAACCCAGGAGGCAGAGGUUGCAGUGAGCUGAGAUCACACUGCAGCACUCUAGCCUGGGUGACAGAGCAAGGCUCUGUCUCAAAAAAAAAAAAAAAAAAAAAAAAAGAAAAAAUGAACUCUAAUGUAUAAUGUCGCAUCUAUGAAAAACACACUUUUGGUUUAAUGUCCGGGAGCCAGUUCUGUCCUGUAUUAAAGGUCAUCUUUGGUAUAAAUGGUAGUUUGUGGGCUUCCUAGAGCCAAUUGUUGGUUUUGUGUUAUUUGAGAAACGUGAUUCCCUGUCACGUGUCUGUUAGAACGCGGUGUUGCCUUAGCAGGCAACAGAGUUGAUUAUUAGGAUAGGCCUUCCUGCUGUUUUCAAAUCAGACUUCUGAGUUACUUACCAAUUUUGAGAUAAGCCUUAGUAGGAACAUUUUUUUUUCUUUUAUUUAUUCUUUGAUCUUCCUUGUAGGUUGGGAUAAUUCUUCACUAUUCCACCCUUGCCACAGUCCUAUGGGUAGGAGUGACGGCUCGAAAUAUCUACAAACAAGUCACUAAAAAAGCUAAAAGAUGCCAGGAUCCUGAUGAACCACCACCUCCACCAAGACCAAUGCUCAGAUUUUACCUGAUUGGUGGUGGUAUUCCCAUCAUUGUUUGCGGCAUAACUGCAGCAGCGAACAUUAAGAAUUAUGGCAGUCGGCCAAAUGCACCCUAUUGCUGGAUGGCAUGGGAACCCUCCUUGGGAGCCUUCUAUGGGCCAGCCAGCUUCAUCACUUUUGUAAACUGCAUGUACUUUCUGAGCAUAUUUAUUCAGUUGAAAAGACACCCUGAGCGCAAAUAUGAGCUUAAGGAGCCCACGGAGGAGCAACAGAGAUUGGCAGCCAAUGAAAAUGGUGAAAUAAAUCAUCAGGAUUCAAUGUCUUUGUCUCUGAUUUCUACAUCAGCCUUGGAAAAUGAGCACACUUUUCAUUCUCAGCUUUUGGGGGCCAGCCUUACUUUGCUCUUAUAUGUUGCACUGUGGAUGUUUGGGGCUUUGGCUAUUUCUUUGUAUUACCCUUUGGACUUGGUUUUUAGCUUCGUUUUUGGAGCCACAUGUUUAAGCUUCAGUGCAUUCUUCAUGGUCCACCAUUGUGUUAAUAGGGAGGAUGUUAGACUUGCAUGGAUCAUGACUUGCUGCCCAGGACGGAGCUCGUAUUCAGUGCAAGUCAACGUCCAGCCCCCCAACUCUAGUGGGACAAAUGGAGAGGCACCCAAGUGCCCCAAUAGCAGUGCGGAGUCUUCAUGCACAAACAAAAGUGCUUCAAGCUUCAAAAAUUCCUCCCAGGGCUGCAAAUUAACAAACUUGCAGGCGGCUGCAGCUCAGUGCCAUGCCAAUUCUUUACCUUUGAACUCCACCCCUCAGCUUGAUAAUAGUCUGACAGAACAUUCGAUGGACAAUGAUAUUAAAAUGCACGUGGCACCUUUAGAAGUUCAGUUUCGAACAAAUGUGCACUCAAGCCGCCACCAUAAAAACAGAAGUAAAGGACACCGGGCAAGCCGACUUACAGUCCUGAGAGAAUAUGCCUAUGAUGUCCCAACGAGCGUGGAAGGAAGCGUGCAGAACGGCUUACCUAAAAGCCGGCUGGGCAAUAACGAAGGACACUCAAGGAGCCGAAGAGCUUAUUUAGCCUACAGAGAGAGACAGUACAACCCACCCCAGCAAGACAGCAGCGAUGCUUGUAGCACACUUCCCAAAAGCAGCAGAAAUUUUGAAAAGCCAGUUUCAACCAGUAGUAAAAAAGAUGCGUUAAGGAAGCCAGCUGUGGUUGAACUUGAAAAUCAGCAGAAAUCUUAUGGCCUUAACUUGGCCAUUCAGAAUGGACCAAUUAAAAGCAAUGGGCAGGAGGGACCCUUGCUCGGUACCGAUAGCACUGGCAAUGUUAGGACUGGAUUAUGGAAACAUGAAACUACUGUGUAACAUUGCUGGGCUUCCUAGGCAGAAAUUCAUAUAAACUGUGAUAUUCACAUUCCUUGAAGCUAUGAACAUUUAAAAACUGAUUACAGCCACCAUAGGGAUUCAAAAGAAUUUGGAAUAAACUUUGAAGUUUUGGAUUUUACUUAUUUUUAUCCCCAAAUUGUUGCUAUUUUUUAGGAUCUGAAAUAAAAUCUUUCUAAAACAUUGUUUUAGUUGUCAAAGCACCAACAGGACAUUUUGGGAUGUGAAAUGUAAUUUCUUGGAAUCUGUAAUUUGUACUUAACAUUUCAGGCUUGUAUUUAAUAUAA